GGACUGUAGCUCAUUGGUAAAAUGCUUGCCUUGCAUGCAUGAGGCACUGGGUUCAAUCCUCAGCACCA
rnacentral:tRNA from 1 species